rnacentral:rRNA from 1 species
AUUGAACGCUGGCGGCAUGCCUUACACAUGCAAGUCGAACGGCAGCACGGGAGCAAUCCUGGUGGCGAGUGGCGAACGGGUGAGUAAUAUAUCGGAACGUGCCCAGUCGUGGGGAUAACGUAGCGAAAGCUACGCUAAUACCGCAUACGAUCUAUGGAUGAAAGCGGGGGAUCGCAAGACCUCGCGCGAUUGGAGCGGCCGAUAUCAGAUUAGGUAGUUGGUGAGGUAAAGGCUCACCAAGCCGACGAUCUGUAGCUGGUCUGAGAGGACGACCGGCCACACUGGGACUGAGACACGGCCCAGACUCCUACGGGAGGCAGCAGUGGGGAAUUUUGGACAAUGGGCGCAAGCCUGAUCCAGCAAUGCCGCGUGCAGGAUGAAGGCC